AUUGAACGCUGGCGGCAGGCCUAACACAUGCAAGUCGAGCGGAUGAGUGGAGCUUGCUCCAUGAUUCAGCGGCGGACGGGUGAGUAAUGCCUAGGAAUCUGCCCUGGUAGUGGGGGACAACGUUUCGAAAGGAACGCUAAUACCGCAUACGUCCUACGGGAGGAAGCAGGGGGACCUUCGGGCCUUGCGCUAUCAGAUGAGCCUAGGUCGGAUUAGCUAGUAGGUGAGGUAAUGGCUCACCUAGGCGACGAUCCGUAACUGGUCUGAGAGGAUGAUCAGUCACACUGGAACUGAGACACGGUCCAGACUCCUACGGGAGGCAGCAG
rnacentral:rRNA from 1 species